rnacentral:lncRNA from 1 species
GUAUAUGCUGUCAUUAUUUACAGAUGAAGAGUAUAAUGUAAUCUCUCUUUGACUAUUGCUACCAACGUGUUGUAUUCACAUUUAAUAUUGUCUUGACAGAGCCUACAGAUAAUGAAGAGGCUGCUUCUCCUGUCUCCCCAGUCCCUGGUUCUGCACCCCCGGUGUGUGAAGGCAAUACUACAAACAAUAUUUAAACAUGUUACGUGCAGAAAACAUCAGUACAGUAUCCACUCAUAGCUUUAACAUUCACAUAAAAAAAGUCAAAAACAUUUUUUUUAAUUAGUCCGUUUACUAAUAAUCAUUGUAUUUGUAAAUGCAGACUCAAUUCUAUUGCAAUGUAUGCCACCAAUACAUCAUUUUAACUACUGUUCAUUUGCAUGUUUAUGUUCCUGAUGUUUAUAUGUCUGAAGUAUAACUUUAUGUAAUAUAUGUUAACGCAAGUUCAAAACAAAUUUUGACCAAACAAACAAAAAUCAAACGAACAAAUCACCAAAACCAUCACCAACACCACCACCACCAUCACCACCACCAACACCACCACCAUCACCACCAUCACAGUCUGCUGAUGAGCACUUCCUCCUCAGCCUUCUGCCUUUUCUGCAGAGCAUGUCACCUCAUACAAAAGAAAUGAUAAAAUUUCACAUGUACAAAUUGGCAAUGGAAAACAGCAACGUUGUGCUAAAUUUAAAGUUGGCUUUAAAAAAAUGAGACAGCAGGCUCUGCAGGAAACACAGAAUGCCCUCCUUCCUCUUCUCCUACUUUUUGUUCCCUGAAGCUCUUCCACCUUCCAAUCGAGGUCCUUUUUAUUUCUGUCUCUGUAUGUAAAUAGUUUGUACAUAUUGUAUUUUAAGUUUAUAUUGUUAUUUUAAGUAUAUAUUCUAAUUAUUGUAUGUUUGGCCUGAAUAAAUUAUUUUGAAAUAUGACUAAAUGCCUGGUGUUGUUCUAAUUCACAACAAAGCAAGUGUUUUAUCACAUAAAAACUUGAUUUCAAACUAUGACACACAUUCAUUUUGUAUAGAAUGCUAUUUAUUCCAUUUCUAAAUCUUGAUUAUAUGAAACAUUAUUAUAAUCUAAGGACAACCAACAUACUUUAGUGUGUCUGGACAGGGUUGUGUGAGGAAAACAAAGAAAUCACAGGACAGGUUAAAUCCUUUUGGAGGCUGGCUCCAUUUAUCAUCAAAACAAAAAUAAAUGACAGAUUAUUUCACAGUAAUAACCUGAACUGAGAAAUAACACAGACCUAUAGAUUUUUUUAUACAUCAAAGGAGGAAUUAUAUUGUUCAGUUAUGUUAACUAUAAACACUUGCAGUCAUACAUUUCUGAAUUAGAUCAAGAAAAACUCCAAAUAUGGGAUUGUUUACCAUGUUACAUUAAUAUUAGGACUACUAAUAAUGUAUGUUACCUUAUAUACUAAUGUGGAAAACCUACCAUUUGAAAAAAUCAAUGACUCAGGGUCUAAAAUAAUUAAAUGUGCAUGUUGUGGUGGACCUGACAGUCUGGAACAGGGCCAGCAGGAAUAGAGCAGACAGACUAGACACAGUGCAGCCAUGACCUGCAAACAGAGAGGAGGCACAACAAAACAAUAUAUAAACCAAUAAUCUUACAGAGAACAUACUGCAUUUAAUAUAUAUAUAUAUACAUAUGUGUGUCUGUGUGUGUGUGUAUAUAUAUAUAUAUAUAUAUAUAUAUAUAUAUAUAUAUAUAUAUAUAUAUAUAUAUAUAUAUAUAUAUAGAUAGAUAGAUAUAUAUAUAGAUAUAUAUAUAGAUAUAUAUUAGUAAUGGUGG